UUUAAAACCGUACAAAGAGCGAAUAAAAACAGCCGUCUUAUUUUACACGUUCCCUAUGGAUUAUGGGGCUGUGACUCUUUUAGCCAAUCGUGAAGUGUGUACUUUUUAAAAACCGUACAGAGAGCGAAUCAAAACAGCUGUCUUGUUGUAUCUCUAGUCGCCAUUUUGAAUUAAUUGUUGUAAAUCUUGUGAGUUGUGAGUUGUUCUACUUCAAGAAAUUCAUUUGGGCGUCGAAUCUUAAAAAAAAUCAUGGUUAUCUACGCUGCUGAUGAAAGAGAAACACACCAAGUCCACAUUCGUGAAUACAAAAGCCAAUGUGAAGUGCCUUACUCUCGCCGGGGCAGAUUUGAAACUCUUCACGUCGAAAUCAAAUCGACAAUUACCGUAGGUUCUUAGCUUCUCAAGCAGUGGAAUUGCAUGUUAAUUGUUAGACCUGUGAAUCAAAUGAAACUCAACCAAGAAUUCCCAGUACAACAUUUAAGAGUAAAGUGAAAUUCUAAAGAACUUGCAAAUGAUCUUACAUAUAGCAAAUUCAAGUUAAGACAAAAAACAUCCUUCAGUCAUCACAGCCUUCAUCUGUUCUGUUCAUGCUUUACCAUACGAGCUACAAGCAGCAAUAACUUAAAAGGAGGGAAAAACAAGUGCAGUUAAAAAUGAAAAAAUACACUCAGCAACAUCAUGUACCAAGAUCAACAAUCAGAAAUUGCCCAGAUAUUAUUGUCUUGCCAUGCUUUGUCAAGUUGAAGGAAGGAGUAAUCCACUGCUUUUAAUUCCUAUAGAUGCCAUGUUUAUUUUCUACUUCGUGAAUAAAUAGGACUAAUAACAAGAA